UACAGAGGUCCCAAGCGUUGUUCGGAUUCAUUGGGCGUAAAGGGUGCGUAGGCGGCGCGGCAAGUUGGGUGUGAACUACCUCGCUCAACCGAGGAACUGCGCCCAAAACUGCCGUGCUCGAGGAAGAUAGAGGUGAGCGGAACUUAGGGUGGAGCGGUGAAAUGCGUUGAUAUCCUAAGGAACACCGGUGGCGAAAGCGGCUCACUGGAUCUUUUCUGACGCUGAGGCACGAAAGCUAGGGUAGCGAACGGG
rnacentral:rRNA from 1 species